GCCCAGGUAGCUCAGUUGGUAGAGCAUCAGGCUUUUAGUCUGAGGGUCCAGGGUUUAAGUCCUAUUUUGGGUG
rnacentral:tRNA from 1 species